rnacentral:rRNA from 1 species
AACGAACGCUGGCGGCAGGCUUAACACAUGCAUGUCGAACGCAUCGCAAGAUGAGUGGCAGACGGGGGAGUAACGCGUGGGAACAUACCCUUUUCUACGGAAUAGCUCUGGGAAACUGGAAUUAAUACCGUAUACGCCCUACGGGGGAAAGAUUUAUGGGGGAAGGAUUGGCCCGCGUUGGAUUAGCUAGUUGGUGGGGUAAAGGCCUACCAAGGCGACGAUCCAUAGCUGGUCUGAGAGGAUGAUCAGCCACAUUGGGACUGAGACACGGCCCAAACUCCUACGGGAGGCAGCAGUGGGGAAUAUUGGACAAUGGGCGCAAGCCUGAUCCAGCCAUGCCGCGUGAGUGAUGAAGGCCUUAGGGUUGUAAAGCUCUUUCACCGAUGAAGAUAAUGACGGUAGUCGGAGAAGAAGCCCCGGCUAACUUCGUGCCAGCCGCCGCAGUAACAC